rnacentral:rRNA from 1 species
GAUGAACGCUGACAGAAUGCUUAACACAUGCAAGUCUACUUGAUUCUACUUCGGUAGUUGAUGGUGGCGGACGGGUGAGUAACGCGUAAAGAAUCUGCCCUUUAGUUUGGGAUAACCUUUGGAAACGAAGGCUAAUACCGAAUAUUAUGGAGAUGUCGCAUGACGACUUCAUGAAAGAUAUAUGCGCUAGAGGAGGACUUUGCGUCCCAUUAGUUAGUUGGUGAGGUAAUGGCUCACCAAGACCGCGAUGGGUAGCCGGCCUGAGAGGGUGAUCGGCCACAAGGGAACUGAGACACGGUCCUUACUCCUACGGGAGGCAGCAGUGGGGAAUAGUGGACAAUGGACCACAAGUCUGAUCCAGCAAUUCUGUGUGCACGAUGAAGGUCUUCGGAUUGUAAAGUGCUUUCAGUAGGGAAGAAAAAAUGACGGUACCUACAGAAGAAGCGACGGCUAAAUAUGUGCCAGCCGCCGCAGUAACAC